rnacentral:lncRNA from 1 species
UCACCUCCUCUUUUUUUUUUUUUUUUUUUUUUUUUUUUUUUUUUGGUUUUGUCGAGACAGGGUUUCUCUGUGUAGCCCUGGCUGUCCUGGAACUCACUUUGUAGACCAGGCUAUUUCCAACUCAGAAAUCCGCCUGCCUCUGCCUCCUGAGUGCUGGGAUUAAAGGCAUGGGCCACCACACCUGGCAGCUCACCUCCUCUUUCUGAGAGGCUGUUGGGUAGGAGUAUAAAGUGUGGCCUUGCUGCCCUCCCCCAGUUGAGGAGGGGACAGCUUUGUGCAAGGCUCUAACGUGAAGUCUGGGCUCAGGAUGAUGACGCAGCGCUGGAGCCAUGCAACCUUUGCUCACUGAGCCAUCUCAGUAGCCCGAGAUUCUUUUUUUUUUUUUUUUUUAAUCAUCUUGGUAGCUGGGCAUGGUGAUGCAUGCCUUUAGUCCUAGCCCUCAGUAGACAGAGGCAGGUGCAUCGCUGUGAGUUCCAGGCCAACCUGGUCUACAAAUCGAGUUCCAGGACAGCAGGGGUUGUCCCACAGAGAAACCCUGUCUCAACAAACAAACAAAAACAAAAAAUUGGUAGACAGAAUUCUAAGACCUUCCAAGAUUCCUGGCCCUUUGGUGUAGACACACUUUAUCCCAGUUACUUGUUCAAAUGAGAGUCUCGGUGGUGGUGUGGAGGGCCUUUUAAACAAAACUUAGAUCCCAAGUGAGUGACGGCUUAUGCCUUUAAUCUCAGGGCUCGGGAGACUGCGGUGCAAGGAUUGCUGGGAGUUCACGCCACCCCAGAACAGGUAGAGACGCUUUGUCCCAGAAAACAAACAAACAAGCAAGCAAACAAGCAAACAGUUGGGAAUAAGUGCCAUUUCUAGUUUCUGUCUGUAUUCUCUUGCUUUUUAACCAGAUAGAAAAGUACCCUUUCACGUGCCUUUUACCUUACUUAUUAAGCAAUGAAAAUAAGUAGAUGUUCCUUAUUUAAUUUAUCCUAAACCUGGAGGUUCAGGAUCCUGGUCAAGUAUUCCUUGUUUUCUUUCCCAUUUCUCCUUAAACUUUGUUGUAUUUCUAUUGAUUUCAGAACUCUUAGUCUAUUGACACAGAUGUAAAAUGGGAUUUGCCCACCCCCAACUCAGAUCUGUGCAGUAACAAAGCAGAGUAAACAGGAAAGCUCUGUGUGAUGAAUUUAUCCAGCGGGAAAAAAAAUAUUUAUCAAGACCUGCUGAAACAUCCCUACAAGAUGGACAAAAACUUAAUCUCAUCAAAGAAAAUCAAUCAAAAAAAUUAAACCACAAGAGCAAUGUUUCUAUUUUUGAAUUGUAAUUGGCGAGCCAGAUGACUGAAUUUUCUUCUACUCCGCCUCAAGACUCAGGAAUUUAUUUUCUUUUUUUGGUGUUAAUCAAUGAAGCUUAGCUUCUAAUUAAUGUGGAAGUAUCCAGACCCUUGAGCUCCUUGAACAAAGGUUUUGUUAAAACACUAACCUGUUUGCUUGUUUCUUUUUUGUCUCCAGUAAUUGGAUACAUUUUAAGAGUGGUAUGUGAAAGGCCAAGGCUUUCACUAUCAGAUAUUCCCAUGGAAGGGAUCAAGUGAGGCACUUAGUUUG